rnacentral:tRNA from 1 species
GCCCGGGUGGCUCAGUCGGUUGAGCAUCCGGCUUCGGCUCGGGUCACGAUCUCACCGGUCGCGGGUUCGAGCCCCCGCGUCGGGCU